rnacentral:pre_miRNA from 1 species
AUCAUUUAUAUUAAUCAUAUCAGAUUUGCAUUAUUAUUAUGAAUUAAACAUCAAUAAAUGCAUUAUCUGGUAUGAUAUUUGAAAUGAU